AGCUCCAAUAGCGUAUAUUAAAGUUGUUGCAGUUAAAACGCUCGUAGUCGGAUUUCGGGGCGGGGCCGCCGGUCUGCCGAUAGGUAUGCACUGGCGGGCGCGUCCUUUUUCCCGGAGACGGCUGCUACUCUUAACUGAGCGGUGGUCGGAGACGGGAUGUUUACUUUGAGAAAAUCAGAGUGUUCAAAGCAGGCCUUUGCCAUUGUAUGUGUUAGCAUGGGAUAAUGGAAUAGGACCUUGGUGCUAUUUUGUUGGUUUCGAACGCCGAGGUAAUGAUUAAUAGGGAUAGUCAGGGGCACUCGUAUUCCGUAGAGAGAGGUGAAAUUCUUAGACCAGCGGAAGACGAACCACUGCGAAAGCAUUUGCCAGGGAUGUUUUCA
rnacentral:rRNA from 1 species